UCGCCCAUCCAAUGUUGAGUCUAAAGCACAAGCCCCUUUUGCCAGGAGAGACACUAUCACUGCUGGUUCUCUUCGCAUUGCCGCGAUGUGGAGAACCGUGUAACCUUGUGAAUUCUUAAGGUUGACAUUAGCAAGAUCAAGGCCAAGCACCUCAGACACAACCUUGGGGUCACAGUAUGCAGCAGCAUAAUGAAGAGCAUU
rnacentral:misc_RNA from 1 species